rnacentral:tRNA from 1 species
GGGAACGUCGUCUAGUUUGGCUAUGAUGCUAGUCUGGGGGGCUAGAGGUCGGAGGUUCGAAUCCUCCCGUUCCCA